rnacentral:rRNA from 1 species
AUUGAACGCUGGCGGCAGGCCUAACACAUGCAAGUCGAAUGGUAACAGGAAACAGCUUGCUGUUUCGCUGACGAGUGGCGGACGGGUGAGUAAUGUCUGGGAAACUGCCUGAUGGAGGGGGAUAACUACUGGAAACGGUAGCUAAUACCGCAUAACGUCGCAAGACCAAAGAGGGGGACCUUCGGGCCUCUUGCCAUCAGAUGUGCCCAGAUGGGAUUAGCUAGUAGGUGGGGUAACGGCUCACCUAGGCGACGAUCCCUAGCUGGUCUGAGAGGAUGACCAGCCACACUGGAACUGAGACACGGUCCAGACUCCUACGGGAGGCAGCAGUGGGGAAUAUUGCACAAUGGGCGCAAGCCUGAUGCAGCCAUGCCGCGUGUAUGAAGAAGGCCUUCGGGUUGUAAAGUACUUUCAGCGGGGAGGAAGGGAGUAAAGUUAAUACCUUUGCUCAUUGACGCUACCCGCAGAAGAAGCACCGGCUAACUCCGUG